rnacentral:rRNA from 1 species
CGCGAUCAUCCUACGGGAGGCAGCAGUGGGGAAUAUUGCACAAUGGGCGCAAGCCUGAUGCAGCCAUGCCGCGUGUAUGAAGAAGGCCUUCGGGUUGUAAAGUACUUUCAGCAGUGAGGAAGGCAGGUACGUUAAUAGCGUGCUUGUUUGACAUUAGCUGCAGAAGAAGCACCGGCUAACUCCGUGCCAGCAGCCGCGGUAAUACGGAGGGUGCGAGCGUUAAUCGGAAUUACUGGGCGUAAAGCGCAUGCAGGUGGUUUGUUAAGUCAGAUGUGAAAGCCCGGGGCUCAACCUCGGAAUUGCAUUUGAAACUGGCAGACUAGAGUACUGUAGAGGGGGUAGAAUUUCAGGUGUAGCGGUGAAAAUGCGUAGAGAUCUGAAGGAAUACCGGUGGCGAAGGCGGCCCCCUGGACAGAUACUGACACUCAGAUGCGAAAGCGUGGGGAGCAAACAGGAUUAGAUACCCUGGUAG